rnacentral:rRNA from 1 species
UACGGGGGGGGCAAGCGUUGUUCGGAAUUACUGGGCGUAAAGGGCUCGUAGGUGGCCAACUAAGUCAGACGUGAAAUCCCUCGGCUUAACCGGGGAAUGGCGUCUGAUACUGGAUGGCUUGAAUUCGGGAGAGGGAUGCGGAAUUCCAGGUGUAGCGGUGAAAUGCGUAGAUAUCUGGAGGAACACCGGUGGCGAAGGCGGCAUCCUGGACCGAGAUUGACGCUGAUGCGCGAAAGCCAGGGGAGCAAACGGG